GAUGAACGCUAGCGGCGUGCCUAAUACAUGCAAGUCGAGCGAACAGACGAGGAGCUUGCUCCUCUGACGUUAGCGGCGGACGGGUGAGUAACACGUGGAUAACCUACCUAUAAGACUGGGAUAACUUCGGGAAACCGGAGCUAAUACCGGAUAAUAUAUUGAACCGCAUGGUUCAAUAGUGAAAGACGGUUUUGCUGUCACUUAUAGAUGGAUCCGCGCCGCAUUAGCUAGUUGGUAAGGUAACGGCUUACCAAGGCAACGAUGCGUAGCCGACCUGAGAGGGUGAUCGGCCGCACUGGAACUGAGACACGGUCCAGACUCCUACGGGAGGCAGCAGUAGGGAAUCUUCCGCAAUGGGCGAAAGCCUGACGGAGCAACGCCGCGUGAGUGAUGAAGGUCUUCGGAUCGUAAAACUCUGUUAUUAGGGAAGAACAAAUGUGUAAGUAACUAUGCACGUCUUGACGGUACCUAAUCAGAAAGCCACGGCUAACUACGUG
rnacentral:rRNA from 1 species